UGGAGCCGCCCUGCCUGGGUUUGGGUCCCAGCUGCGCCACUUACCGCAGGACGCGCUUGACCCAGUCCCUGAGCCUCUCUGAGCCUCAGUUUUAUAGUCUGUAAAAGAGGAAGAAGAGCAGCGCCUGCCCUUUUCAGCCACGGGAGGAUUAAACGGGCCCCUGGACGCACUUAGCGCAGAGCCUCGCCGGGCACGAGCUGCGCGCACGUCUGCUCCCCAAACCCCUGGAUGACGUGGCUGGCGCCCCUCUUCUUUGUGGGGUCAAGGAGGGCUAGCGCUGAGAGGGGCUGGAUGAGAAUUGGGAAUCCACCUCAGAGGGGGGCAGCAGCACUCGCAGCAGGAGGAGCGCGUGCACAGAGCCCCUGACUGGAACCCUUUUGGAUUUCUGGGAAUCUCCUUUGAGACCACAGCUGUUCUAGGAUGAGGCAACCUAUGAGAACUGUUGGCUGCUGACCUCGUCAUUGUUGGCUGCCAGGCUUGGCUAACAUCUAUGCCAAUCUUCCUCCAUUUCGCAUGUGGGACGCCCGCCUAGGAUCCGAACUCACGAACCCCGGACGCCUAAGCGGCGCCGGUGAACUUAAACACUACGCCGCGAGGCCGGCCCCUUCUUUAUGUUAUGAAGCAGGACAAGCAUAGACUACAAAGCGUUUAAAGAAGAUAUUCAGUGUUGGACGUGCACUAAAUUCCCAGACAAAGCCUUUUCAAAUACUCUGCAAAUGGGGACGGGGCAGCGGGGACAGGAUGGAAGUAACAGCCUUGGUCUAGAGCUGAGGGAUGGCAGCGUGGACCAGGGUGUGGCAGCGGAGGGGGACACGUCGAUUGAAGCUGUAUUUUGGAGUGACCAGGGUAGACGUCCACAGUGAGACGUGACGACGGCGGGGCCCCGGCGGAUGCGACGAGGAGGAGCGGCCGCAUCACUGGUGAUAUCCUUCCCCAGACACAUAACCGAAUCUAGUCCUUAGGAUGGUGGUCGAGUGGUUAACGUUCGGCGCUCUCACCACCCCGCCCAGGUUCGCGUCCAGAUCAGGGAAGCACACCACCCAUCUGUCCCGGCUGCGUGUUGCUGAAAGCUGUGCCUCCGGGAUUUCAAAUACCAGCAGGGUCACCCAUGGUGGACAGGUUUCGGGGGAGCUUCCAGGCUACACAGACUAGAAGGACCUGGCCACCCCCUUCCAAAAAACCCUGUGAACAGCAGCGCAGCAUUGUCUGAUACAGCACUGGAAGAUGAGAGGAUGGCACAGAAGGACCGGGCAGGGGUCCGCUGUGCUGUACACAAGGUCACUAGGAGUCUGAGUUGACUUGAUGGCAUUAACAACAACAAAAAAUCUUUAGGAAGCAAUUAUUCUAUAAAAUAACUGGCAUGCAGUGUUCAAAGGCAUCUAAAUCAAGAAAAGAUUGAAGAAUGUUCCAGAUUAAAGGAGACUCAAGAGCCAGGAAAACUCAGGGCAGCGUGUGGUCCUGAACCAGAUCCUUCUGUCAUAAAGGACGUUAUUGGGACACUUGGCAUAGACAUGAACCGGGCCUGAGGAUCAGAUGUGGCAUCCGUCCCGUUAGUGUGGCUCUCCUGAUCUGGGGCGUUUGCGUUGUGGCCGUGCAGGGGAAUGGCCCAGGUGACGGAAAUUCGAAAAAAGCCUUCAACAGUGACGGGCAUCGUGUCACCAUUACUCUCUGAUGGUCCGGGGAAUAAAAGCUCCUUGUACUAUCUUUGUACCUUUUGCGUAGAUCUGAAACUGAGCCCAGAGGGUAAAAUGACUCCGCCGAGGUCACUCUGAGAAUCAGGGCCUCACUUGCUCCACGGCUCCUCCGUCUCACCUCCCACUGCACUGCGCUCACCUUCCCAGCCUCGAAGAGGAUUCCUUGCUCAGAGCUGGCAGGCUCCCUCCAUCAGAGGAGCUCAGUUUCCCCAAGCAGGGAUGAAAUCAGAGACGAUGGACCCAUGACACACCAUUCUCAGCCUCCAGCGACCACCUGGGGCAUCUCUGAGAUUACAGAGAUUUUGAGAAGUGCGUCCCAGCAAGACGGUCCCCAGAGUGCGAGCUGUCCUCUGAGGGUCCUCGUGGCGGGGCAUCAGCACAACCAGGGUGUGCCCCCUCUGCUGCGUUUGGAAAUCACUUUGUCAUCAGCAUCCCAUGAAGGAAGCCUGGAGGGGAGGGGAGCGAGGGAAGGGCAGGGCCGCGCAGCUGCCACAGGGCUGGUGCAACUGGGGGCACAUGGUCCCUCCCGCACUCCCCUCCCCCUGUGGGCCUAAACGGAGGCUCUGUCCCCCCCGGCCCUGAAACUUUUGGUCUCAGGAUCCCUUUACACUCUGAAAAGGUAUUGAGGGCCCCGAAGAGC
rnacentral:lncRNA from 1 species